UAAAGCCGGUGGGAAAGCGAAAUUUGCAAUCCUUGGUCCGCACGAAGCAAGAGGGAGAGAGAGAAGGAGUGUCUGGUUUGAGAAUUUAGAUAUUCGCAGUUUGGUGGGAAAAGUGGGCGGAGAGGAAUAUCUGGAUUCCACCUCUUUCGACGGUGGUUAUGCUGCUUGCCGUUCAGGGUGCCCUUAAUUUGAAUUUUGACGAUCUUGUUCUCUCAUUCAAGAUAUGGAGGCAGCUUGUUUCUGGCCAAAUUGCUACAAGUAUCGAUUGCUUUCUUUCCAAGAAGUGCAGGAUUGGCAUAGCUUUGUCCUUGUAGAUUUUCUUCUUGUUUCCUUUGUUAAUUGCACCUAGGGUUCUGUUCCUCUUGGAUGAUCACCAAUGGGUAUGUAAUGCUAGUUCCUUCUGAGUCAGGUGCUCCAUCUUUAGUGCACUUGUGCAAUGCAUUGCUGACCCAAAAUCCAGUUAAAACAUCUUGUCAAUCAUCAUCUGGGGGCUGAAGUUUACAGGUUGCUGACUGAAUGUUGGAUGCUUUCUCCAUGUCAAGUAUCGGAUAGGCAAUUACAUUGAAUUAGUGUGCCCUGUAAUCAUUAGUAUUUAAUUCAUUUUCGCUCCUUAUGGAUAUUGGUGAGAACUAAACAUCAGCUACCUGAAGGCUCUGAAACAAUUCCUAUUAGUUUUGGUGAAGUAGCUAUUACUGGAGUUUUGAUGUCCUGGGUCAGUGACGCUAUCUUGAGAUCAAUGCUGUUGCCUUGAUAACUCAUUUUGGUUGGACCUGGGAAGUGUUAAUAUGAUCUACAGUAUUUGUUCAUCAUUG